ACAUAUAGUUCGGAUUGUUCAAACAGCCGUGACAAGCAAGUUUUAUUUUCACACUGCUGAGGCAGUACUGCGGUUUUUAAAACCGGGAGAAACCAGUGAGGUCACAUGUACCACAAAAUGACGCGUUUCACAUUUCCCAACAGUAUACGUCGUGAUGACACUGCUAUUAAAAGCAGACAUAAAAACUACUAUUGGAAUCAAGAUCUUCGGGGACAAUAAGUCAAAUGUUCUGGGAGAGACCAAGACGACAAAUAACAUCUUCAGGAGAUAUAUGACUUUCUGAAUGAAGAGGAUUGAAUUUUGAGAUGCAACAUUUUCUGAACAAUGGAAAUGCUGAGUUUUACAACCAAUAUCUCCGCUAAGUCAUUCACCACUGGGAAGUGCUCAUUGUCACAGUCUUGAUUUUAUUUAUUUAUUUAUUUUUUUGAGAUGAUAGUUAAAACUUUAGGAGUAACCCUUGCAAUUAAUUAAUGUAUUCAUUGUGUUCCACAGAUUCCGUCCAGAAGGAGAACUUUGAGAGAUAUGAAACAAGUCCAGGUGUACAUUAACAAAAGACAAGCAAAUCAUAUAAACUUAAUAUAAGGAGCAAUUAAAACGUUUCCAUUUUAAGGCCAAGCAUUUCAGAAUCAGUAUUCCAAUCAUGCAAAAUCACCACGAGCACUGAGGCAAUCAUCCCACCCGAUGCACCAGGUUUAAGAUACCUGCUUGGUGAAACACUGUGUCCCGCUGCAUGAAGAGUCGGGGGCAGAAGCUCUCAUAAGUUUGAGACCAAACGUCAAGACGGGCAUCAAGGCAUAUGCUGGACCAAAAUGAAAGCCUGAGGGAGAAGAGAGUGGCAAUCCCAACUCGUCUUCAUCAACAAAUAAACCAGAUAUUGAACCAGGCAUCAUUCAAUGCAGAUCUGAUUAAAGUAAAACCUGAAAAGUACCAAGACCUGCAGCACCUGAAGCAGUUUUGCAGUCCAUCUGCUCAAAAGUACUUUGAAGAACUUCCUCAUUGACAAACAUAAGUUGUUACAAGAUCCACUGAAGAAGCACAGAAAGAUAGUGGACUUUCAUCGUUUUUACCAAGUUUUUUAUGACUACCAUCACUUUUACCACGUUUUUUGUGUACUUAUUUAAGUUCUUAAUUAAUA